UGGCGGGCGCACCACCCGUGGGCCGUGCCAUCUCUGUCGCGGUCGGAGCCGAGCCCGCCGCAACCGCCCACCCGCCUCCGCUCCGCCACGUCAGCACGCGGACCGACGCGGUCCGGUGUCGACAGAAACCGAUAAAACCCCUCUUCUCCUUCUUCUUCUUCUUCUUCUUCUUCGUCCUCUUCUCCCUCUCUCUCUCUCUCUCUCUCUCUCUCUCUCGAUCGAGCAAAAACCCUAAUAAAUUCCCCCGAAAAAUCCCCGAAAAGAAAAGCGAAGAGAGAGAUCGAUGGAUUCGGAUCCGUGGAUCUCCCGCCUCGCCGUCGCGAAGCGGCACAUCGCGAAUUUGCUCCACCAAAACCCCCAAUCAGGGUUUGUGGAUCGGAUGGGGUUCGACGAGUUCGAUGCGGAGGAGGAGGAGGUUCGGCCGGACUUCCCGUGCCCGUACUGCUGCGAGGAUCACGACAUCGCGUCGCUGUGUGCCCACCUCGAAGAAGAGCAUCCGUUUGAGUCUAAAGUCGCCGCUUGCCCCAUUUGCUCUGUUAAGAUUACCAGAGACAUGCUGAAUCAUAUUACUCUGCAACAUGGGCAUCUCUUUAAGAUACAGAGACGUCGCAGGUUACCUCGAUUUUCCAUUCCCAGCAGCCAGGCGAUUUCUUUGUUGGGUAGGGACCUUAAUGAGGCUCAUAUGCAGUUGCUUUUGGGAGGUGGUGGAUAUAAAUCAAGCAGUAGCAUGUCAACAAAUGCUGCUUCUGAUUCUUUUAUUUCUUCACUUUUAAAUUUCCCAACAUUAGAAGCAGAAGAAACUUUAAAAUCUCCCAUACCAACAGGAGAGAAUGCUUGUAUAGAGGAAGAAACCCCUCUCAAGAUUUGGAAGUCAAGAUCGAUCUUUUAGGUAACAAUUAUGAUGGAGUAGUAGAGCUAAAAUAAGCAACUUCAGAAAGUUCCUAAGACAACUGCAGAAGACAAUGUAGCAGAGCACAAUGCACAGCAAUAGUUUCCUGGUCAUGUAAUAGUUUCGACUCAUCACUCACAAAUGAGGAGCGAGAACAGAACCGGAAGCAAGUGACUGUGAGAGCAGCAUUCGCGCAAUGCCUGCUUCUUUCCGCUAUAUUUGGCGAGUGAUUGAAGGCAGAGCAUGAGAACCUCUCGCCACAAUGUGUUUGUUGGUAAUGUAUAUUCGUCGACAUAAGAUAUGCCUACUACCACCGAAUUGCUUUGAACCAGAAUGUUCCAAAUCAUCGGCAUUUUUCUCUAGUCCAAUUCCUCCCCCUGUGCAAAGGUGCGACUAUCUCUGUCUUAUGUCUUUGAAAUGAAUUUGCUUCAUAACUCUGUUGUAGUAAUCCGGUAUAUCUGAUUGACACAACUGUAUUCUAUGAGAUUUGUUAUUUGUAUAUCUAAUAAAGCCUGCUUUUAUAUUGAUAAUAAUAAUACAUAAAGGAUAGCUUAACCUUGAAUA